AACGAACGCUGGCGGCAGGCUUAACACAUGCAAGUCGAGCGCCCCGCAAGGGGAGCGGCAGACGGGUGAGUAACGCGUGGGAACGUACCUUUUGCUACGGAAUAGCCCCGGGAAACUGGAAUUAAUACCGUAUGUGCCCUUCGGGGGAAAGGUUUAUCGGCAAAAGAUCGGCCCGCGUUGGAUUAGCUAGUUGGUGGGGUAAAGGCCUACCAAGGCGACGAUCCAUAGCUGGUCUGAGAGGAUGAUCAGCCACAUUGGGACUGAGACACGGCCCAAACUCCUACGGGAGGCAGCAGUGGGGAAUAUUGGACAAUGGGCGCAAGCCUGAUCCAGCCAUGCCGCGUGAGUGAUGAAGGCCUUAGGGUUGUAAAGCUCUUUCACCGGUGAAGAUAAUGACGGUAACCGGAGAAGAAGCCCCGGCUAACUUCGUGCCAGCAGCCGCAGUAACAC
rnacentral:rRNA from 1 species